AUAUGGUUUCUGUAUUUUAAGUUGCAAUAAUAUAAAACAUAAUGUCCUUCUUACAUGGUAACUGGUUCAAUAUCAUCUUCACACACAAACUGUUAUUUAUUGGGGUCUAAGUUAACUUCACUUGUGGUUGUAUCUCUUUACUAAGGCAGCAACCAUUUGAUUUUCUGGGGGGGGGGGGCUAUGGUUUUUUUUGGAAAAAAAAGUUUGUUUCUAGUUUUUGGAGAAAA
rnacentral:lncRNA from 1 species